rnacentral:lncRNA from 1 species
GUUCAAGUUACUCUGUGAGUUCACAGACAGGUUCUGAUCUGAGAGCCGGUCUGUCCUGAAACUAGGGAGAAUUGGGGAACAUGCUAUGUGUUAGAUGCCUUCUUUUUCUCAGUAUUGUGAUACUUAAAGGUACUUGCCUCCCGGGUCUCAUUUAAAAUGCUUCUUUUUGGGGCGCCUGGGUGGCUCAGUCGGUGAAGCAGCCGACUUCAGCUCAGGUCAUGAUCUCACGGUCCGUGAGUUUGAGCCCCGCGUCGGGCUCUGUGCUGACAGCUCAGAGCCUGGAGCCUGUUUCGGAUUCUGUGUCUCCCUCUCUCUGACCCUCCCCCGUUCAUGCUCUGUCACUCUCUGUCUCAAAAAUAAAUUAAGGUUAAAAAAAAAAUAAAAUGCUUCUUUUUACAAGAUGGCUUUACUAGGAGUGAUGUCCAUGGAUGUUGUAUUUCUAAUCCGAUGUGUUGUUGUUUACCUCAAGGGAAAAUGGCUUGCUUUACAUUACCGACUCAGCUGGGUAGAGAGUAUCACCCUGGUGGGGAUGGAGACUGAGGCUGCCAUUUUGAAAUACCUACAUAGGUUCAUCUAUUCAGGCUUGUAUGUAUGUAUCCGUAACACACAUCCACACACACGUGCAUGCACACUGAGGAUUGAAAUACGACUCAACAUUACAAAGAGGACCUUUUAGCAUAAGAGCACACAGGAACUCUGCUAUGGCCUACAUGGUGGUCUUAGAAAGCCAGCCCUGCCUCUCUCGCCUCAACCGACUCUUAGAUUUUGUGAGUGUCACAGUCUUCUAAAAAAACACAUCUGAAGUCUACCUCAGACUCAUUACGAAGCCUCAUUCAGUAUUCGGAGCAGGGCAAGAGGUAAGGGGUGAGGGAUUUUAGUUCUGGAUGGGCUCUGGCCCAUAGCCACGCUCUCAGACUUGCCCACUCUGGUGUCCCUGUGGGAUACGCAAGGCUGAGAUGCCUGCAUUCUUACUGGAAACCUCUGCCUGUAACUCAGCCCUGAAGAGAGUUACAGAGAAUCUGGCAAGAAAAGGGGUGGCUGGGUGAUCUGGCUUCCUCUCAUCUUCCUCUGGUCAUUUCUGAACUAAAACCUGGUCCCAGCCCUCAGGUGUGACCCCCCACCCCCCAGUCCCAUACACCUGCAAAUGGUGAUUUCCUCCUAGGGUUCUGGGUAAGCAGUACCGUGGAGGUGGCCGGCAGUUAAAUGAAGCCACUGACAUGGCUUAAUUUGUGAUAUACUAUUAAAAAAGCAGAUGC